rnacentral:rRNA from 1 species
GACGAACGCUGGCGGCGUGCUUAACACAUGCAAGUCGAACGGAAAGGCCCUGCUCUUGUGGCGUUCUCGAUUGGCGAACGGGUGAGUAACACGUGAGUAACCUGCCCUUGACUUUGGGAUAACUUCAGGAAACUGGGGCUAAUAUCGGAGAGGAUCUCCUGCUGCACGGGGGGGGUUGGAAAGUGUCGGCGGUUGGGGAUGGACUCGCUGCUUAUCAGCUUGUUGGUGGGGUAGUUGCUUACCAAGGGUUUGACGGGUAGCCGGCAUGAGAGGGUUAACGGCGUCCAUGGGACUACGAUACGGAGCAGAAUCGUACGGGAGGCAGAAGGGGAGAACCUUGCAGAACGGGGCGAAGCCUGAUGCAGCAACGCCGCGUGCGGGAUGCCCGCCUUCGGGUUGUAAACAGCUUUCGAAUGUGCCGAAGCGUGCGUGACGGUAAUGAGUAAAGAAGCAACGGCUAACUACGUG